rnacentral:rRNA from 1 species
GACCAGACUCCUACGGGAGGCAGCAGUGAGGAAUAUUGGUCAAUGGGCGGAAGCCUGAACCAGCCAAGUCGCGUGAGGGAAGAAGGCCCUGCGGGUCGCAGACCUCUUUGGACGGGGAGCAAGGCCGCCGACGUGUCGGCGGAAGGAGAGUACCCGUAGAACAAGCAUCGGCUAACUCCGUGCCAGCAGCCGCGGUAAUACGGAGGAUGCGAGCGUUAUCCGGAUUUAUUGGGUGUAAAGGGAGCGUAGACGGUAUGGCAAGUCUGAAGUGAAAGCCCAGGGCUUAACCCUGGGACUGCUUUGGAAACUGUUAGACUAGAGUGCUGGAGAGGUAAGUGGAAUUCCUAGUGUAGCGGUGAAAUGCGUAGAUAUUAGGAGGAACACCAGUGGCGAAGGCGGCUUACUGGACAGUAACUGACGUUGAGGCUCGAAAGCGUGGGGAGCAAACAGGAUUAGAUACCCGCGUA